GGUAGUGGGAGACAGUCAAACCUGGACGAGAGCCGGUCAAAGGAGGAACUUCUCACCUAACUGAACCGUCAUCAUGUCUCGCCUGUUGCUCUUCUCUCUCCUUGCAGUGGUGGUCGCCCGGGUCGCCGCUAAUGGUCAUGAUGUGGGUCAACCAGCCACGUUUGACUGUACUCAGGAUGGCUUCUUCGCUGACCACGGCCGCAACUGUGUUGUCUACUACCGCUGUGCCAACGGUGACAUGACCGCGUUCGGGUGUAACAAGGGACAUCUGUUUGACGAGACCAGCAGCAAGUGUCUCCCAGCCGACAGCGUCACCUGUUAGCAACAUUACCGUCAAACCCCAUCUGUCUCUUCGUCAUGUAAUCUGAAUCUUUACACCAGCUGUCUCCCCCUCUAUAUCACAUUAAAGAGGAGUCUACGCUAUCUUUCUCUCUCUAAAUCACGUUAGCAGAGGCUCUGCACAAGCUGUCUCUCUACGUCACAUUAGCAGAGGCUCCGCACCAGCUGCCUCUCCCUCUACGUCACGUUAGCAGAGGAUCUACAUCAGCUGUCCCUCCCUCUAUAUUACGUCAAAAAAGGCUCCGUACCAUCUUUCUCUUUCUCUGUCACUCAAAAUCUAAAUUCCCCAUAUUAUAGAGACAAUAAACUCUUAAAAACAAAUAAA